rnacentral:rRNA from 1 species
CCUACGGGGGGCAGCAGUGAGGAAUAUUGGUCAAUGGACGAGAGUCUGAACCAGCCAAGUCGCGUGAAGGAUGACUGCCCUAUGGGUUGUAAACUUCUUCUAUAAAGGAAUAAAACGAGGCACGUGUGCCUUUUUGCAUGUACUUUAUGAAUAAGGAUCGGCUAACUCCGUGCCAGCAGCCGAGGUAAUACGGAGGAUCCGAGCGUUAUCCGGAUUUACUGGGUUUAAAGGGAGCGUAGAUGGGUUGUUAAGUCAGUUGUGAAAUUUUGCGGCUCAACCGUAAAAUUGCAAUUGAUACUGGUAGUCUUGAGUACAGUUGAGGUAGGCAGAAUUCGUGGUGUAGCGGUGAAAUGCUUAGAUAUCACGAAGAACCCCGAUUGCGAAGGCAGCUUACUAAACUGUGACUGACAUUGAUGCUCGAAAGUGUGGGUAUCAAACAGGAUUAGAUACCCCGGUAGUC